rnacentral:rRNA from 1 species
GACGAACGCUGGCGGCGUGCUUAACACAUGCAAGUCGAGCGGAAAGGCUCCUUCGGGGGUACUCGAGCGGCGAACGGGUGAGUAACACGUGAGUAAUCUGCCCUGUGCUCUGGGAUAGCCACCGGAAACGGUGAUUAAUACCGGAUACAACCACUAUCCGCAUGGGUUGGUGGUGGAAAGUUUUUUCGGCACAGGAUGUGCUCGCGGCCUAUCAGCUUGUUGGUGAGGUAAUGGCUCACCAAGGCGUCGACGGGUAGCCGGCCUGAGAGGGUGACCGGCCACACUGGGACUGAGACACGGCCCAGACUCCUACGGGAGGCAGCAGUGGGGAAUAUUGCACAAUGGGCGCAAGCCUGAUGCAGCAACGCCGCGUGCGGGAUGACGGCCUUCGGGUUGUAAACCGCUUUUAGUAGGGAAGAAGCCUUCGGGUGACGGUACCUGCAGAAAAAGGACCGGCUAACUAUGUGCCAGCCGCCGCAGUAACAC